rnacentral:rRNA from 1 species
AAGUCGUAACAAGGUUUCCGUAGGUGAACCUGCGGAAGGAUCAUUACCAAAAGGAACCCUUCGGGGUUAAUCCUCAACCCUUUGUUUAAUUACCAUGCUUCUUUGGCGGGCUUGCCCGUCAGAAGAUUUCUCAAACCCUCUAAACGUGUCAUCUGAAUCAAACAUUAAAUAUAAUAAAACUUUCAACAACGGAUCUCUUGGUUCUGGCAUCGAUGAAGAACGCAGCGAAAUGCGAUAAGUAAUGUGAAUUGCAGAAUUCAGUGAAUCAUCGAAUCUUUGAACGCAUAUUGCGCCCUUUGGUAUUCCGAAGGGCAUACCUGUUCGAGCGUCAUUACACCUCUCAAGUACACCUUGAUGUUGGGCCAUGCCUGGAGGCAAGCCUAAAAGACAGCGAUGGUCAAGUCGAACCACGGGCGCACAGAUGUCGCUAAGCUGGGGAGACGGGAUCAGUAAAUUCCAAAUGUUGACCUCGGAUCAGGUAGGAUUACCCGCUGAACUUAAGCAUAUCAAUAAGCGGAGGAAAAGAAACCAACAGGGAUUGCCUCAGUAACGGCGAGUGAAGCGGCAACAGCUCAAAUUUGAAAUCUGACCCUUCGGGUCCGAGUUGUAAUUUGUAGAGGAUGUUUCGGGUAAGAUCUAGGUCUAAGUUCCUUGGAACAGGACGUCAGAGAGGGUGAGAAUCCCGUACGUGGCCGAGGAUCGCACCCAUGUGAAACCCCUUCGACGAGUCGAGUUGUUUGGGAAUGCAGCUCAAAAUGGGUGGUAAAUUUCAUCUAAAGCUAAAUAUUGGCCAGAGACCGAUAGCGCACAAGUAGAGUGAUCGAAAGAUGAAAAGCACUUUGAAAAGAGAGUUAAACAGUAUGUGAAAUUGUUGAAAGGGAAGCGCUUGCAACCAGACUUGUUUACUGGGUUCAGCCGUCGUUCUCGGCGGUGUAUUUCCCUGUUAUCAGGCCAGCAUCAGUUUGGGUGGAAGGUCAAAGGCCUCGGGAAUGUAGCACCCUCUCGGGGGUGUCUUAUAGCCCGGGGUGUAAUGCUUCCUACCCGGACUGAGGUACGCGCUUCGGCUCGGAUGCUGGCGUAAUGGUUGUAAGCGACC